rnacentral:rRNA from 1 species
GUGUCAGCAGCCGCGGUAAUACGUAGGGAGCAAGCGUUGUCCGGAAUCAUUGGGCGUAAAGCGCGCGUAGGUGGCCCGGUAAGUCCGCUCUGAAAGUCAAAGGCUCAACCUUUGAAAGCGGGUGGAUACUGCCAGGCUAGAGUCCGGAAGAGGCGAGUGGAAUUCCUGGUGUAGCGGUGGAAUGCGCAGAUAUCAGGAGGAACACCAACGGCGAAGGCAGCUCGCUGGGACGGUACUGACACUGAGGCGCGAAAGCGUGGGGAGCGAACAGGAUUAGAAACCCCCGUAGUCC